AACGAACGCUGGCGGCGUGGAUAAGACAUGCAAGUCGAACGGGACAACAUCUGUAGCAAUACAGGUGUUGUUUAGUGGCGAACGGGUGCGUAACACGUGGGCAAUCUGCCGAGAAGUGGAGGAUAGCUCGCCGAAAGGCGAAUUAAUACCGCAUACGAUCAGCUAAGACAUCUUAGCGACAUCAAAGCCGGGGUAACCUGGCGCUACUCGAUGAGCCCGCGGCCUAUCAGCUAGUUGGUGAGGUAACGGCUCACCAAGGCUGUGACGGGUAGCUGGUCUGAGAGGACGACCAGCCACACUGGAACUGAGACACGGUCCAGACACCUACGGGU
rnacentral:rRNA from 1 species